UACGGAGGAUGCGAGCGUUAUCCGGAUUUAUUGGGUUUAAAGGGUGCGUAGGCGGAAUAUCAAGUCAGCGGUAAAAAUUCGGGGCUCAACCCCGUCGUGCCGUUGAAACUGAUGUUCUUGAGUGGGCGAGAAGUAUGCGGAAUGCGUGGUGUAGCGGUGAAAUGCAUAGAUAUCACGCAGAACUCCGAUUGCGAAGGCAGCAUACCGGCGCCCAACUGACGCUGAAGCACGAAAGCGUGGGUAUUGAACAGG
rnacentral:rRNA from 1 species